UACGUAGGGCGCAAGCGUUUGUCCGGAAUUACUGGGCGUAAAGAGCUCGUAGGUGGUUUGUCGCGUUGUCCGUGAAAACUCACAACUCAAUUGUGGGCGUGGCGGGCGAUACGGGCAGACUGGAGUACUGCAGGGGAGACUGGAAUUCCUGGUGUAGCGGUGAAAUGCGCAGAUAUCAGGAAGAACACCCGUGGCGAAGGCGGCUCUCUGGGACGGUACUGACGCUGAGACGCGAAAGCGUGGGGAGCGAACAGG
rnacentral:rRNA from 1 species